UAGGGAAUCUUCGGCAAUGGACGAAAGUCUGACCGAGCAACGCCGCGUGAGUGAAGAAGGUUUUCGGAUUGUAAAACUCUGUUGUUAGAGAAGAACAAGGACGUUAGUAACUGAACGUCCCUUGACGGUAUCUAACCAGAAAGCCACGGCUAACUACGUGCCAGCAGCCGCGGUAAUACGUAGGUGGCAAGCGUUGUCCGGAUUUAUUGGGCGUAAAGCGAGCGCAGGCGGUUUCUUAAGUCUGAUGUGAAAGCCCCCGGCUCAACCGGGGAGGGUCAUUGGAAACUGGGAGACUUGAGUGCAGAAGAGGAGAGUGGAAUUCCAUGUGUAGCGGUGAAAUGCGUAGAUAUAUGGAGGAACACCAGUGGCGAAGGCGGCUCUCUGGUCUGUAACUGACGCUGAGGCUCGAAAGCGUGGGGAGCAAACAGG
rnacentral:rRNA from 1 species